UACGUAGGGGGCAAGCGUUAUCCGGAAUUACUGGGUGUAAAGGGAGCGUAGACGGUGAUGUAAGUCUGGAGUGAAAGGCGGGGGCCCAACCCCCGGACUGCUCUGGAAACUAUAUGACUGGAGUGCAGGAGAGGUGAGCGGAAUUCCUAGUGUAGCGGUGAAAUGCGUAGAUAUUAGGAGGAACACCAGUGGCGAAGGCGGCUCACUGGACUGUAACUGACGUUGAGGCUCGAAAGCGUG
rnacentral:rRNA from 1 species